rnacentral:rRNA from 1 species
CAGUAGCCGCGGUAAUACGUAGGGUGCAAGCGUUAAUCGGAAUUACUGGGCGUAAAGCGUGCGCAGGCGGUUUGUUAAGACAGAUGUGAAAUCCCCGGGCUCAACCUGGGAACUGCAUUUGUGACUGGCAAGCUAGAGUAUGGCAGAGGGGGGUGGAAUUCCGCGUGUAGCAGUGAAAUGCGUAGAUAUGCGGAGGAACACCGAUGGCGAAGGCAGCCCCCUGGGCCAACACUGACGCUCAUGCACGAAAGCGUGGGGAGCAAACAGGAUUAGAUACCCCCGUAGUCCCUGUCUCUUAUCC